GGAGGAGGAAGGUGAGGAAGGCCACAGGGGGAUUGGGGGGGGGCGGACAUGAGGAGGAGGAGGGUGAGGAAGGGCCUGAGGAGGAUUUGAGAGGAGGGUGAGGGUGAGGAAGGAGCUGAGGGGGGUGAGGAAGGGCCUGAGAAGGAUUUGAGGAAGAGGAAGGUGAGGAAGAAGCUGAGAGGGAUUUGAGGAGGAAGAGGAGGGUGAGGAAGGGCCUGAGGGGGAUUUGAGGAGGAAGAGGAGGGUGAGGAAGGGCCUGAGGAGGAAGAGGAGGGUGAGGAAGGCCACAGGGGGAUUUGAGGAGGAGGAGGAGGGUGAGGAAGGCCACAGGGGGAUUUGAGGAGGGUGAGGAAGGGCCUGAGGGGGAUUUGGGGGGUCCUGAGGAGGAGGAAGAGGGGAGGAAGGCAGCGCCAGCCUCGGGGGAGGG
rnacentral:lncRNA from 1 species